GAGGUUUUUCCAUGUAACAUCAACAGAAAGCAAAGCUGUAUCAAAUAGGGCCAAAUUCAAGAAGAUGCCAGUGAAGCACUAGGGCACAGCCUUGAUCACAAACCCCAAAGGAAUACUACUUUAAAUUUUAAAACUGCUCAAUUAAUAUGAAUAAGUGAGGUGGUUUGUGUUUGCUUAGUACAAUGCAAAUCACUGAGGAUGUUUGCAGGAAACCUGUUCUCCUUGAUAACUCCUGCUGUCUCUGCAACACCUGCAAAGAUCUUUCCCUGCUAGAGGAGAAACAAGUGGCCUAGAAGAAAAGAGUUCCUCUUUUCCCAACUAUCUGGGACACUUUAAAUAAUGUUGUUUCAAAAUGACAAGAAUGGCGACAUGUUUAUAUCUGCUGUUCCUUUUUGGGUUGGCCUCAUGAGGCAGUUCUUACUGUCAAAUCUUCCACAGCAGGAUGUGUGCACAGAAGAUUACUGCAGGCACUACCCAGAGGAUUAAAAAAAUACAUAUUACAUAUCAUAGGAAAACAGGACAGCUCUUCUAUGUUCUCCGUAGAGGGUCAGAAAUAGGAUGUGUUAUACACCUAGGUUUAUGUCUGCACAGUUUAUGUCCUGCAGCAUGCUGAUUUGAAUAUAUUUAAAGGAAACAAGAAGGAGUUAUGUGGUGGGAGAAAGGUAAAGAAAUAAAAUUAAGUGACAGGUGUAUAUUAGUUUGCUAGGGCUGCAGUAAUAAGGAACCAUGAAUUGAGUGGCUUAAAACAUCAGAAAUGUAUUGUCUCAUGGUUCUGGAGGCUAGAAGUUCAAGAUCAAGUUGCCGGCAGGGUUGGGCCCUUCUAAAGACUGGGAGCGACACUGUUUCAUGCCUCUCCCCUAGCUUCUGAUGGGUAGCUGGCAAUCUUGGCAUCUUCUGGCUUGUAGACACAUUAUCCUGAUCUCUGCUAUUAUCUUCACAUGAAGUUCUCAUGAUGUUCUCCCUGUGUGUCUAUCUGUGUGUCCAAAUUUCACCUAUUUAUGAGGACACCAGUCAUAGUGAAGUCACUAUGACCUCGUCUUAACUCAUUAAAUUUGCAAUGUUCUAUUUCCAAAUAAGGUCACAUUCUGAGGUACAGGGAGUUAGGACUUCAACAUAUGAAUGAGGACUGGGGGGUAGCACAAUGCAACCCAUGCCACAGGUGCUUUAUUCAUGUUAGCUCAUUUAAUCUACAAAACAAUUCCAUAAGAAAGAAGACCAUGUUUCUCUUCUUAGUGAUAAAGAAGUGGAAGCUCAGUAAGAACUCUAAAGCGCAUGGCCAUGGAAAAGGACACUAGUAAUAAGUUACGGAAACUACUCAGUCCAGUAUCUGGGCAGAAUCACUAUUCCAUAUAAGGUAAGUGGAGGAUUAUCAUCAUUCUUAUUUUUAUUUUGUUUUGGUUUGGUUUUUCACCUUCUUUUCCUAAUCUGAUCAAAGUACAGGCCAUUUCUAGAAUUCUUUUUCCAAAAGUUCUUCACCUCCAAAGCAAUAAAAUAUAAGCUAUAUCAGAUCUUUGGAUGCCACAGAGUCUAUACUCUUCUAAAAUCACAAUAUAGGCAUAAAGUAAACUUUUGGUAUUUGAUGUCUCUUGACUAUUCAGUUACUGACUUUGUCCCUUUGUCCUCCCUUCAGGUUUUGUGUGUUUUAUGGCAUGUUUAUAAAAACCUGAGAAUAUAGUUUUCUCAUCUGUAAAAUGGGGCUAUGACUAUUUGCCUUACAACAGUAUUACAGGGGCAGAUAUAGCCAUGGGCGAAAACCAUAUAAAAGUUCAAAAGUACCAAGUAUUGAUAAGGGUAGGAACCAACAUUAACUCACUGUUUGUAAGAUUAGAAAUGGAAAUAAUCACUCUGGGAAUAUUGGUAAUAUAUAAUAAAGCUGAAAAUAUAGAUACCCUACUUAAAGCUAAAUAUACAUACUUCCUCUGACCCAGCAAUUCCAUCCUCCAUAAUUGCAAGCUUAUGUACACCAAGAUAUAUGCAAAAAAAAAAAAAAUGGUCAUAGCAUAGAACUUCAAACCCAGAUGUUAUAGAAUGGAGUUUUAAAAUUGUAGCAUAUUCAUAUAAUGGUUACUAAAUCACAAUAAAAAUAAGUGAACUAUGAAUAUAUGGAACAGUGUGGAUAAUUCAUAGAUAUGUAAGUUGUAUAAAAGGAAAUUAGGAAAAUAGAAUAUGCAUUGUGCCAGCAUUUACAUGAAAUUUGAAAUCUGAUUAACGAAACUAUUCAUGAAUUUAUUUAUUUAUGGAUAAAACUAUAGAGAAAAGCAAGGAAGUAUUAUGAAAGACAGGAGAGUUUCUGUUAGAGGGGAAGAAGUAAUUAUGAUUGGGAAGAGACAUGGGGAAAAUCCAGGCUGCUGGUUAUGUUAUAAUGCCUUGAUGUGGGUAGGUGUUUUAUCUGUGUUCAUUUAUAAUUACUCCGAGGUUAACCAUUUAUGUUUUAUUCAAUUUCCUAUUCUUCUAUCUGUAUUAUAAAAUAAAUGAAAAAAAUAUACAAUCACAUAUAUAAUGCACCUAAGAUAGUGUGUGGUAGCUAUUAGGUGCUUUAAAAAAAAAGGAUAGCAAUUCCCACCCCCAUCGCCACCUCCUGGAGAAUAAAAGAUAGGUGAAAAUGAUAUGCAAAAUACCAUAUUUUAAAGGUUUUAACUAAAAGCAAUGGACUCACUUAGGUUGCUUUUCAUAUAGGAGAAGUAAAAUGUAUUUAUUUGGGAAGGAGACUCUCAGGGAAUCCACUACUUGAGGAAAUUCAACAUGAGAGUCAUCAGCAGAUGUCAAACAGACCUUCAACCUCAUUUAGAAAUCUUGAAAUUCAAUAUUCAGACUCAUGCAGCAAAUGGGCACAUGGGGUUUGGGGGGGAUUAGGAAAGAGGUCUACACACCCUAUUUAAUGAUGUAGAGCUGCUCUUCCAGGCAGUGGUGCUCAAAGAGGCCCCCACUGCUUGUAUUUAAAUGAGAUUCUGGCACAGCAGCGAGGUGAAUGGUGGAUCAACGCCUAAAGCAGCAAUCUACUAAACAUCUCCGUGACUGGGGAAACCCCAAAGGGCUACAUCCAAACCUUCGUACCUGCAGCCAUUAAUGACUUCUAGAGGAGCAGAGCUCAGGGAGGGACAACAAUAGGUGAGAAGUCAAUUUAAUUUUCAUUCCCUGCCAGACCAUAUUCUUAACAUAACCCAAUGAGAAUUUAUGUCAGAUGCACAUUGUAUAUCUGUCCCUGAUUUAAAUGGCAGAUCUCGUCUCCAUUUCAGAUUCAUUCUUGGGCCUUUAGCUGCAUUUAUUGAAAAGUGGCUGUAUUCACUAUGAACCAAUUUUUCCCUUGGGUUUUAUUACUGAAAUCAUCAAAAUAAAUCACCUAGAAUGCUCCAUCCUACCUGGUUUGAAAGCCAUUGGGGAAACGGUGAAAUUCUUUUUUUAAAAAAAUACAUACUAGAAACACGUUUGUGCACCUGAGACAAUGAUUAGCUAUUGAAUUGAAAUUGCUUUACAUGUCAUAAGGAAAAGUACUAUUUAAACAAGAGUAGCAUUGGAACAGACGGUGGACAUCAAUCCUUAGGAUAUUAACCUGUGAACCAGAGGAUUACAAUAGCAUGCCAAUUUUCACAAACUAGUUCUGGUGUUUGGAAUUAGUCUUCCUUUUCUAUGUUCUUUUUGUCCUAGUUUUUCCGGGAUGAAAAAAAGGAAAGAAAAAUAAAGGCUACCCUGCAAGAGCCCCCUUUGUUAACACACACUGUUUGCAUCCUGGCUCAAGUGUGAAUCCUCCUACCAAGCUGUAAAUCUUCACUCCUGCUUUUCUACAGAAUCCAAGAACAACUUUGUUUGCAAACUUGCUUUGGAAAUGAGAGUGAGGUAAGUUUUCCAGUGUCUGACAGCUAGGAAGUACCAGGACACUGUAUCUCAAAGACUCCAAGUUGAGACCUUUCCUGUGUGCCACAAUGCCGGAACAAACUCCCUCCCCGAGUACGAGAUUCCAGAAGCAGAACCGUGGACAAUUUUUAAACUCAGAAAGCCUCCUGUGGAGUUGGGACUCACAGCUCACAGCCACGAAAUCACUGUCCAUUAACUGUUUGGUUUCCUGAGAGCAGAGAUUAGGGAUCCUCAGUCUUGCCUGUAUAUCAAUACCACCUGGGACCACUCAGACCAGGUGAAUCAAUGUCCCUGCAGGUUGGGCCCAGGUAAUGGUUUAUUACGUGUUCUAUGUAAGUUUAGGGUAUAACCAAGUGGUUAGAAUUACUAACUAAAUCAAACCUCUUUACUGACCAAUUACAUUAGAAUGUAAAUUCUC
rnacentral:lncRNA from 1 species